rnacentral:rRNA from 1 species
UACGAAGGGGGCUAGCGUUGCUCGGAAUUACUGGGCGUAAAGCGCACGUAGGCGGCUUUCAAGUCGGGGUGGAAGACCUGUGGCUCAACCACAGAAUUGCCCUUCGAUACUGUUAGGCUUGAGACCGGAGGAGGUGAGUGGAACUGCGAGUGUAGAGGUGAAAUUCGUAGAUAUUCGCAAGAACACCAGUGGCGAAGGCGCUCACUGGUCCGGUUCUGACGCUGAGGCGCGAAAGCGUGGGGAGCAAACAGG